rnacentral:piRNA from 1 species
CCGUAUGAUAAGAACUUUAAGUCUC